CCCCUUUACUUAUUUUCUUUCUAUUUAUCACAUCCUAUGAUAAUGUCCUCCAGAUCCUGGCUGCCAAGUCCACUCCGAGUCCCAUAGCGCGCAGGAGCUACAAGCCGGCCGCCUACUACCAAGGACAGGGACAGGAGCAGCAAGGAUCACCGUUCGGUCCCACCCAGCAACAGCAACAAAUUCAACCAGCGGUGCAGCAAGGGAAGUUAAGCUCACAGAAUCCUUCUGAAGCCGCCCUCCUGUACCAGCUGCGUCACCACCAUCACAACCGUCAGCCGUACUGGUGGAAUUAACUGAGAUUUUAUUGUUUUCCUGUUGCUAUUUACAAAUUAGUGUCAAGUGCAGGCCAUCCUUUAAGUGAGGGUGCAAGAGUGUGAAUCUAGUCAACAAGUAUCCCUGAUUUGGUUUCUGAAAGCCCCCUAAUGUACACAGUGCAAUAUGAAAAUAAAUCUCACAGGAAUUAAGACCAAA